rnacentral:rRNA from 1 species
CCUACGGGAGGCUGCAGUGGGGAAUAUUGGACAAUGGGGGCAACCCUGAUCCAGCCAUGCCGCGUGUGUGAAGAAGGCCCUCGGGUUGUAAAGCACUUUCAGUGAGGAAGAACGCCUGGUGGUUAAUACCCAUCAGGAAAGACAUCACUCACAGAAGAAGCACCGGCUAACUCCGUGCCAGCAGCCGCGGUAAUACGGAGGGUGCGAGCGUUAAUCGGAAUUACUGGGCGUAAAGCGCGCGUAGGUGGCUUGAUAAGCCGGUUGUGAAAGCCCCGGGCUCAACCUGGGAACGGCAUCCGGAACUGUCAAGCUAGAGUGCAGGAUAGGAAGGUAGAAUUCCCGGUGUAGCGGUGAAAUGCGUAGAGAUCGGGAGGAAUACCAGUGGCGAAGGCGGCCUUCUGGACUGACACUGACACUGAGGUGCGAAAGCGUGGGUAGCAAACAGGAUUAGAUACCCUAGUAGUC